GGUACAUGCGUCGGGGAUCGGUUCCUUGAGGUCAUAAAUAAAACGACUCUCGGCAACGGAUAUCUCGGCUCUCGCAUCGAUGAAGAACGUAGCGAAAUGCGAUACUUGGUGUGAAUUGCAGAAUCCCGUGAACCAUCGAGUCUUUGAACGCAAGU
rnacentral:rRNA from 1 species